rnacentral:lncRNA from 1 species
CUUUUUGGCCGAUAACAAAGUCUUUCUUUCUAAUCAUCCUGUCGUGGAAUGCCUUGGUCUUCUCUUUAUAGAUCACGGCAGAAUCAUAAGCCUCAUUCCUGAUUUCUUCAAGUUCACACAACUGCAACUUCCUGUGUAGUCCGGCCUCAUCAAUAUCCAUAUUAAAAGUCCGAACCGCCCACCAAGCUCGAUGUUCCAACUCCACAGGCAAGUGACAAGCUUUGCCGUACACCAUACGAAACGGUGACAUUCCCAAGGGAUUUUUGAAUGCAGUUCGAUAUGCCCAUAGUGCAUCAUCAAGUCGUUGGCUCCAAUCCUUGCGUGACGGCUUCACACUCUUCUCCAAUAUUCGCUUGAUCUCUCGGUUACUAAGCUCCACUUGCCCACUUGUCUGGGGGUGAUAAGGUGUAGCAACCUUAUGCUUGAUUCCAUACUUCUUCAUUAGAGCUUCAAUUGUUCGAUUGCAAAAGUGAGAACCUCCAUCACUUAUUACAAAUUUCGGCAUUCCAAACCUGGAGAAAAUAUUAGAGCGUAGGAAAUCUGCAACAACUCGAGAAUCAUUAGUCCGGGUGGCUUUUGCUUCCACCCAUUUAGAAACAUAAUCCACACAUACGAGAAUGUAUAAAUUUCCCUGAGAAUUCGGAAAAGGCCCCAUGAAAUCAAUACCCCAACAAUCAAAUAUUUCAACAUGUAUAAUAGGUUGCAUAGGCAUCUCAUCCCUAGGUCCUAAAUUCCCUGUCCUUUGACAUUUAUCACAUGAAGCACAAUACAUAUAGGCAUCUCGAAAAAUAGUAGGCCAAAAGAAUCCACAUUCUAAAACUUUCAAAGCAGUCCUACGAGAACCAAAGUGACCUCCACAAAUUUGAUCAUGGCAAAAACUAAGAAUAGACCUAUGCUCAUUCUCCGGGACACACCUCCUAAUAACUUGAUCAACACAAUGUUUCCAUAAAUAAGGUUCAUCCCACACAUAAUGUCUAGCUAAUGCCUUAAGUCUAUUUCUAACAUGGUAGGACAUAGAAUUCGGAAAUUGUUUUGUAACAAGGUAAUUCACAAUAUCGGCAUACCAAGGCUCACUUACCUCACUUACCUUGCUUACCUUGAAGAGUUGCUCGUCCGGGAAGCAUUNNNNN